rnacentral:tRNA from 1 species
GCAUUAAUGGGGUAGUGGUAACCUGGGUCGUUGCCAUGAUCUUUGUGUCGAAGUAUCGACCCGCCGGGGGUUCGAUUCCCUCUUAAUGCA